rnacentral:misc_RNA from 1 species
AAACUGCGAUAAGUAGUGUGAAUUGCAUUUAGUGAAUCAUCGAAUCUUUGAACGCACCCUGCACUCACUGGUAUUCCGGUGAGUACGCCUGUUUCAGUAUCAUUGAAAACACACAAUCAAAACAUUUUCUUUGGUUUGAUUGGCUUUGGGUCUAUCAAAAAGUUUGGCUUGUUUCUUACAAGCCAAGCGGCCUGAAAUAUAUUGUCUGGCUAAUUGCAUCGUUGAUGAUCGCUAUUAGACUUUGGCUUUUUUAAAUGAACUAGAGGUUGAUUAACCAGUUUUAGCUUUAGUCAAAUGGUCAUUGUAAAAAAAAUCUCGAUCUUGGCUAGGUGUUUAUAGCCGAAAAUUUUUUUUUGGCUAUAACCGAAACCAAUAUAAUCACAUUUAGUUAUCGAUCUGAAAUCAGGUGGGACUACCCGCUGAACUUAAGC